GUAGGUGAACCUGCGGAGGGAUCAUUACCGAGCGAGGGCCUCCGGGCCCGACCUCUCAACCCCAUGUCACCCGACACUGUUGCCUCGGGGGCGACCCGGCCCUCUGGCGCCGGGGCCCCCGGCGGACCGUCAAACACUGCAUCUGUGCGUCCGAGUCGAAUGAUAAAUCAAUCAAAACUUUCAACAACGGAUCUCUUGGUUCUG
rnacentral:misc_RNA from 1 species